GCAAGUUUAAUGAAAGUAAGCAUAUCCUUCAGAGCUUCUUUCGACAGUCCUGUCCAAGUUUUCACACAUGAAGGAGAAAACUUGAUAUAAAUAGCCAAAAACAAGAAGUUAAGCCAGUAAGAGAUUGAAUUUGCUAGAGCAGCUCCCUUGACACCAAGUCCAGUCUUGAAGACCAAAACCCAACAGACAACUAUGUGGAUUAAGGUUGUAACUCCAGCACAUAACACCAUAGGGAUGACAAUACUUUGUGUUUGUAAGAAUCUCACAACACAUUGGAGCAAGCCGUAAGCGAAAACACCAGGGAUAAAAUACAAGGCAUAAUGACCAGCUUCGUCAGAUAUACUAGGAUCUUGGCCUAAAAACUUGAGAAUAUGGCCAGUGUUUGCCCAAAUGACUGCAAGAGGUAUGCUUACAAGUGAAAGUAUAAUCAUAGCUCUCUGCAUGUGAAUGCCAAGCAUAUGAUACUGUUUUGCUCCAUAAGACUGUCCACAAAAUGUGUCCAAUGCACUUGACAUCCCCAUCAAUAGACUGAUACCAGUAACAGAAGUGAAG
rnacentral:misc_RNA from 1 species